rnacentral:rRNA from 1 species
UCAACGCCGGGCAGCUCACCGGAUAAGACAGCUGGAUGAUAGCGGGCUGAAGACUCUGCUUGACUAGCUGAGAGGAGGUGCAUGGCCGUCGUCAGUUCGUACUGUGAAGCAUCCUGUUAAGUCAGGCAACGAGCGAGACCCACGCCAACAGUUGCCAGCAUGUCCUCCGGGAUGAUGGGGACACUGUUGGGACCGCCUCUGCUAAAGAGGAGGAAGGAAUGGGCAACGGUAGGUCAGCAUGCCCCGAAUUAUCCGGGCUACACGCGGGCUACAAUGGUCAGGACAAUGGGUAUCGACACCGAGAGGUGGAGGCAAUCUCCUAAACCUGUCCUUAGUUCGGAUUGUGGGCCGCAACUCGCCCACAUGAAGCUGGAAUCCGUAGUAAUCGCGUUUCAAAAUAGCGCGGUGAAUAUGUCCCUGCUCCUU